UGACGGUACUUGACUAAGAAGCUCCGGCUAAAUACGUGCCAGCAGCCGCGGUAAUACGUAUGGAGCAAGCGUUAUCCGGAUUUACUGGGUGUAAAGGGAGCGUAGACGGCAAAGCAAGUCUGAAGUGAAAUCUAUGGGCUCAACCCAUAAACUGCUUUGGAAACUGUUUAGCUAGAGUGCAGGAGAGGUAAGUGGAAUUCCUAGUGUAGCGGUGAAAUGCGUAGAUAUUAGGAGGAACACCAGUGGCGAAGGCGGCUUACUGGACUGUAACUGACGUUGAGGCUCGAAAGCGUGGGGAGCAAACAGGAUUAGAUACCCUG
rnacentral:rRNA from 1 species